rfam:Ornithorhynchus anatinus chromosome 3, whole genome shotgun sequence.
NGCAGCGUGGCUCAAUGAAAAGAGCAUGGGCUUGGGAGUCAGAGGUCAUGGGUUCUAAUCCCAACUCUGCAA